rnacentral:pre_miRNA from 1 species
GGUUAGUGUGCUUUGCGAAUCACAAGCCCUAUCUUGUGGUAUGAACUAAGUACGCGAUGAUUUCUGGUACGUAUUGGGGGCUUACCAUAAGAUAAUGAUGUGAAUUCGUAAAGCGUUCAAACC